rnacentral:rRNA from 1 species
GACGUAGGGCGCAAGCGUUGUCCGGAUUUAUUGGGCGUAAAGAGCUCGUAGGCGGUUCGUCGCGUCGGCUGUGAAAUCCCGAGGCUCAACCUCGGGUCUGCAGUCGAUACGGGCGGACUGGAGUUCGGCAGGGGAGACUGGAAUUCCUGGUGUAGCGGUGAAAUGCGCAGAUAUCAGGAGGAACACCGGUGGCGAAGGCGGGUCUCUGGGCCGAUACUGACGCUGAGGAGCGAAAGCGUGGGGAGCAAACAGG